UGUUCAGGUGGAUGCAAGCAAGAAAAGAGGAACCCUGAUCUGUUUGUAAAGAAGAGUGACCUGUUCUGCUUCAGCUGGUGUAGUAAAUCAGAGGAAUCAGAAGUCAAAGAAAAGGAACUAAAAGACUUUAACAUGGGAGUUGCCAACAUGUCAGUCAAACAUGCCGACAUGAUGACUACAGAUGUUGAAAAAUCCACCAAACUCUGAUGCUGCUACACUCCAUAAUGAUACACUGUUCUAUAAUUCACUUAAUUUCAGAGACGCUUCAAUGUAUAUACACAUAAAUAAUAAGUAAAUAUAUUUUCUGCUGCUACAUUCCAAGAACAAAUAAUUAUUCAACAACUACUGGUAUGUGUCCUUAUGUUGACAAGACUUAAGUUUGAGGUAAAAGGGAUUUUAGAUGUUUUAGUAAGAAAAGGUACAUGUGGAUACAUUUUUGUAUUAUUGAAACUAAACUUUACAACAUUCAAACUCAAAUUCCAUAUUCAAGCUAACUAACUAAAGUUACAGCACAGUUAAAAAAACCUACAGUAUGAAAAUCUACUGCAACAUGUGGUGCCUUUCCGUAGUGCUAUAACAUUUACGGUGUUGUGUAUUCCCCUAAACAAUAGAAGAAAAGACAUGUAACAUAAACACAAG